rnacentral:rRNA from 1 species
GAUGAACGCUGACAGCAUGCUUAACACAUGCAAGUCGACUUGAACUUCGGUUUGGGUGGCGGACGGGUGAGUAACGCGUAAAGAACUUGCCUCACAGCUAGGGACAACAUUUGGAAACGAAUGCUAAUACCUGAUAUUAUGAUUAUAUGGCAUCGUAUAAUUAUGGAAGCUAUAUGCGCUGUGAGAGAGCUUUGCGUCCCAUUAGCUAGUUGGAGAGGUAACAGCUCACCAAGGCGAUGAUGGGUAGCCGGCCUGAGAGGGUGAUCGGCCACAAGGGGACUGAGACACGGCCCUGACUCCUACGGGAGGCAGCAGUGGGGAAUAUUGGAAAAUGGACCGGGAGUCUGAUCCAGCAAUUCGGUGUGCACGAUGAAGUUUUUCGGAAUGUAAAGUGCUUUCAGUUGGGAAGAAAAAAAUGACGGUACCAACAGAAGAAGUGACGGCUAAAUACGG